rnacentral:rRNA from 1 species
AAUUUUGGACAAUGGGGGAAACCCUGAUCCAGCCAUCCCGCGUGUAUGAUGAAGGCCUUCGGGUCGUAAAGCUCUGUCAUUGGGGAAGAUAAUGACGGUACCCAAUGAGGAAGCCACGGCUAACUACGUGCCAGCAGCCGCGGUAAUACGUAGGUGGCAAGCGUUGUCCGGAAUUAUUGGGCGUAAAGAGUGCGUAGGCGGUCUAUUAAGUCUCAUUUGAAAGCCCAUGGCUUAACCAUGGAGGGUGAUGGGAAACUGAUAGACUUGAGUAAAGGAGAGGAAGGUGGAAUUCCACGUGUAGCGGUGAAAUGCGUAGAGAUGUGGAGGAACACCAGUGGCGAAGGCGGCCUUCUGGCCUUUGUCUGACGCUGAGGCACGAAAGCGUGGGUAGCAAACAGG